UUGAACGCUGGCGGCAUGCCUUACACCUGCAAGUCGAACGGCAGCACGGGUGCUUGCACCUGGUGGCGAGUGGCGAACGGGUGAGUAAUACAUCGGAACAUGUCCUGUAGUGGGGGAUAGCCCGGCGAAAGCCGGAUUAAUACCGCAUACGAUCUACGGAUGAAAGCGGGGGACCUUCGGGCCUCGCGCUAUAGGGUUGGCCGAUGGCUGAUUAGCUAGUUGGUGGGGUAAAGGCCUACCAAGGCGACGAUCAGUAGCUGGUCUGAGAGGACGACCAGCCACACUGAGACUGAGACACGGCCCAGACUCCUACGGGAGGCAGCAGUGGGGAAUUUUGGACAAUGGGCGAAAGCCUGAUCCAGCAAUGCCGCGUGUGUGAAGAAGGCCUUCGGGUUGUAAAGCACUUUUGUCCGGAAAGAAAUCCUUGGCCCUAAUACGGUCGGGGGAUGACGGUACCGGAAGAAUAAGCACCGGCUAACUACGUG
rnacentral:rRNA from 1 species